GUCUCUCGCGUCGGGAGCGGACUCCUAGAGAGUGAGCGGGGCGGGUGGGAGGGAGCAAAGGCGGCUCUCCGCUCCAAUAGCGCCUCAGCGUUCGGGGUUGUUCCUGGGCCGCCAGCCUCGCGUGGUCUGGUCUGGGGCGCUGCGUCCGUCGGCUCUAGGAAGUUACGCAGCCUGCGGCGGUAAAGACCCUGCCCCCGGAGGCCUUGGCUGCGCCGGAGGGAACCGCAGCAUCCAGGGGACGACAUGCCAACUGCCAAGCAACUAGCUGACAUUGGCUACAAGACCUUCUCCACCUCCAUGAUGCUCCUGACCGUGUAUGGGGGCUACCUCUGCAGUGCCCGAGCCUACCGCUAUUUCCAACGGCGCAGCUCCCAGCGCCAGGCUGCAGAAGAACAGAAGACCUCAGGAGUCCUGUAGAACUGGAGGGCUUUUUCCCGUGAGCAGAGAGGCUUGAGGCAUGCUGUGGAAAAACCUUACCUGUAAUCAUUUCCAAUUCAAGAAGACUAGGGCCUUAAUGGUUUUCAAGCCCUGCUGGGAAAAGGUGCCUAUGUUUUCUCUGGUACUGCCAGCUUGGGGAGGCUGUGAAUCAUAAUAGGAAUGGGAGGGUGAGGCACACCUACAGGCAUUAAAUAUUUUGCCAUGUCUGUGU